rnacentral:rRNA from 1 species
GACGAACGCUGGCGGCGGGCUUAACACAUGCAAGUCGAACGGAAAGGCCCUGCUUUUGUGGGGUGCUCGAGUGGCGAACGGGUGAGUAACACGUGAGUAACCUGCCCUUGACUUUGGGAUAACUUCAGGAAACUGGGGCUAAUACCGGAUAGGAGCUCCUGCUGCAUGGUGGGGGUUGGAAAGUUUCGGCGGUUGGGGAUGGACGCGCGGCUUAUCAGCUAGUUGGUGGGGUAGUGGCUUACCAAGGCUACGACGGGUAGCUGGCCUGAGAGGGGGAUCAGCCACACUGGAACUGAGACACGGUCCAGACUACUACGGGAGGCAGCAGUGGGGAAUAGUGGACAAUGGGCGCAAGCCUGAUCCAGCCAUACCGCGUGGGUGAAGAAGGCCUUCGGGUUGUAAAGCCCUCUUGUUGGGAAAGAAAAGCAGCAGGUUAAUACCCCGCUGUUCUGACGGUACCCAAAGAAUAAGCACCGGCUAACUUCGUG